rnacentral:rRNA from 1 species
AGCGAACGCUGGCGGCAGGCCUAACACAUGCAAGUCGAACGAACUCUUCGGAGUUAGUGGCGGACGGGUGAGUAACACGUGGGAACGUGCCUUUAGGUUCGGAAUAACUCAGGGAAACUUGUGCUAAUACCGAAUGUGCCCUUCGGGGGAAAGAUUUAUCGCCUUUAGAGCGGCCCGCGUCUGUUUAGCUAGUUGGUGAGGUAAAGGCUCACCAAGGCGACGAUCAGUAGCUGGUCUGAGAGGAUGAUCAGCCACAUUGGGACUGAGACACGGCCCAAACUCGUACGGGAGGCAGCAGUGGGGAAUCUUGCGCAAUGGGCGAAAGCCUGACGCAGCCAUGCCGCGUGAAUGAUGAAGGUCUUAGGAUUGUAAAAUUCUUUCACCGGGGACGAUAAUGACGGUACCCGGAGAAGAAGCCCCGGCUAACUUCGUG